CACACACACACACACGCACACCUGAGAGAGCUGGACCUGAGUUACAAUCACCCAGGAGACUCAGGAGUGAGAGUGCUGUCUGCUGCUAAACUGGACACACUCACACUGCUUGUGGACCAUGAAGGAGAGAACAGGACCAAACCAGGACCCAGGAAAUACGGCUGUCAGCUCACACUGGAUCCAAACACUGCAAACAGAAACCUGUCUCUGUCUGAGGGAACAGGAAGGUGACACACACACCGGGAAAGAGGAGCCAUAUCCUGAUCAUCCAGAGAGAUUUGAGCAGUGGCGCCAGGUUGUGUGCAGAGAGAGUGUGUGUGAGCGCUGUUACUGGGAGGCUGAGUUCAGUGUGUCUGAGGGGAGUGCAUUUUCUGUGGCCGUGACGUAUAGAGGAAUCAGCAGGAAAGGAGGAGAUUCUGACUGUGUGUUUGGAUGGAAUAAAAACUCCUGGAGUCUGGAGUUCUUUAAACACAGUUACUCAGUCUGGCACAAUAAGAACCAAACACACAUACAUGCCCCCCCCUCCCCCUAUCGUAGAGCAGAAGUGUGUGAUGAUGAUGAUGAUGAUCUUAGAGGUGUGUGUGUGUACAGGGUAGGAGUGUCUGUGGACCGUCCGGCCGGCACUCUGUCCUUCUACAGUGUCUCUGACUCUGACACACUGACCCUCCUGCACAGAUUCCACACACACUUCACUCAACACACACCACUCUGUGCUGGAUUUGGAGUGUGGAGUUCCUCAAUGUCCCUGUGCCAACUGGAGUAGAGACACACACGCGCACACACACACACACACACACACACACACAAACACACUACACACACUCUCUCUCUCACACACACACACACACCCACAAAUCCCUGGGU